AGUGAACGCUGGCGGUAGGCCUAACACAUGCAAGUCGAACGGCAGCACAGUAAGAGCUUGCUCUUACGGGUGGCGAGUGGCGGACGGGUGAGGAAUACAUCGGAAUCUACUUUUUCGUGGGGGAUAACGUAGGGAAACUUACGCUAAUACCGCAUACGACCUACGGGUGAAAGCAGGGGAUCUUCGGACCUUGCGCGAUUGAAUGAGCCGAUGUCGGAUUAGCUAGUUGGCGGGGUAAAGGCCCACCAAGGCGACGAUCCGUAGCUGAUCUGAGAGGAUGAUCAGCCACACUGGAACUGAGACACGGUCCAGACUCCUACGGGAGGCAGCAGUGGGGAAUUUUGGACAAUGGGCGCAAGCCUGAUCCAGCCAUACCGCGUGGGUGAAGAAGGCCUUCGGGUUGUAAAGCCCUUUUGUUGGGAAAGAAAAGCAGCAGGUUAAUACCCCGCUGUUCUGACGGUACCCAAAGAAUAAGCACCGGCUAACUUCGUG
rnacentral:rRNA from 1 species